GAAACAAAGCUCUGUUUUUUAACGCAUUUAAAUAAAGUUUUAAUUUUCUGUUAUAAGAAUUAAAUAACAAAUUUUAUUAAAAAAAAGAUCUAAAUAGAACACAAAUCUGGAUUAGUACCCAAGUAUGAAUUUCUUUUAGGUAUUGUAUAUUAAACCUAAACUGUUUGGCAGUUAUUUAUUCUUUUUAGAGAAUUUUGGUUUAUAAAUUGACAACCCACAAUUUUAUUUACUGUGCUUAAGUUUACGUGUGGUUGUUUUAAAAUAAAUAUCAAAUUAAAUUUUGUCCAAAUGACAUGUAGCCUGUCACAGGAAUAACUGAAAUGCGUUAACUUUUCUUUAAUAAAAAUUAGGAUUUAAUAGUAGGUAAAAUUAAUCGAAUAAGUUAUAAAUAA
rnacentral:rRNA from 1 species